rnacentral:rRNA from 1 species
UACGUAGGAUGCAAGCGUUGUCCGGAAUUAUUGGGCGUAAAGAGCGCGCAGGCGGUUUUACAAGUCAGAUGUGAAAUAUCCGGGCUUAACCCGGAGGGGUCAUUUGAAACUGUGAGACUAGAGUACAGCAGAGGAUAGCGGAAUUCCCGGUGUAGUGGUGAAAUGCGUAGAUAUCGGGGGGAACACCAGUGGCGAAGGCGGCUAUCUGGGCUGAAACUGACGCUGAGGCGCGAAGGCUAGGGGAGCAAACAGG